UACAGAGGUCUCAAGCGUUGUUCGGAUUUAUUGGGCGUAAAGGGUGCGUAGGCGGCAGGGUAAGUUAGGUGUGAAAUGCCGAGGCUCAACCUCAGCACUGCACUUGAUACUGCCCCGCUCGAGUGCUAGAGAAGAAGCUGGAAUUUACGGUGUAGCAGUGAAAUGCGUAGAUAUCGUAAGGAACGCCAGUGGCGAAAGCGAGCUUCUAGAUAGUUACUGACGCUGAGGCACGAAAGCUGGGGGAGCAAACGGGAUUAGAUACCCGUGUAGU
rnacentral:rRNA from 1 species